CCGGCGGCUCAGUGCGGUGUGUGUUGGCAGCCAGCGGUGAGAGCACAUUGACCAGCGCUGAUCUGCUGUGGACAGCCCUUGGAUUGUACCCUAGUACUCAAUAGCUAAGAUGGUGCCAUGUGCUGCUGACGUUGUUACACCGUAAUUAAUCUUGUAACUGAAGAAACUGUAUCUAGGUUUGUACCUAACUUGGCACGUGAAUAACACUUGCCUGGUGCACGCAACAACUCUCAAGAAACUUGACACCAUCCAGGACAAAGCAACCCACUUGACUGGCACCACAUUCAAUCCCUCCA